ACCCAAACGAGAAGGAAGAACACAUGUCCAUCAUAACCACUCAUCCAAUAUUAAAUAGGAAACCGAAUACAAUUGCUAAUCAAGUUUAAAAUCCCUGAUAUAGCUAAAGCUGGGUUUACACUAGCGUGAUUGCCACCACCUGUUGAAUUAUCCUCUCUUGAUGGUUACAGAGUUUAUACUCUCUAAAUGCUAAGUUAGCACGUGACAUCAUGCAGUAGUGGAAUGGGUAAUAAAAG
rnacentral:lncRNA from 1 species